UUGCUUUAGCAGCAUAUAUAUUAAAAUUGGAAUGGUACAGAGAAGAUUAGUGUGGCCCCUGUGCAAGGAUGACAUGCAAAUUUGUUAACUGUCCCAUAUUUUC
rnacentral:snRNA from 1 species